rnacentral:rRNA from 1 species
UGAGUAACUGUGCUCCUAGACUGUUUAGCCGGUUUUCCUUGGUUUGCCUUCACCGGUAGGCCAUGGUGGCUGGCGUGUUUACCUUGAAUAAAUUAGGGUGCUCAAGACAGGCGUUUUGCUUGUAUAUCCGUGCAUGGAAUAAUGGAACAGGACUUCGGUUCAUUCUGUUGGUCUUGGAACCGAUGUAAUGGUUAAGAGGGACUGACGGGGGCAUCCGUAUCGCUGCGUGAGAGGUGAAAUUCUUGGACCGCAGCGGGACGUCCAACUGCGAAAGCAUUUGCCAAGAAUGUCUUCAUUAAUCAAGAACGAAAGUCAGAGGAUCGAAGGCGAUUAGAUACCGCCCUAGUUCUGACCGUAAACGAUGCCAACUAGCGAUCAGGUGCUGAUAGUUUAGUCGCGCCUGGGAGCUUCCCGGAAACGAAAGUCUUCGGGUUCCGGGGGUAGUAUGGUUGCAAAGCUGAAACUUAAAGGAAUUGACGGAAGGGCACCACCAGGAGUGGAGCCUGCGGCUUAAUUUGACUCAACACGGGAAAACUCACCCGGCCCGGACACUAGUAUGAUUGACAGAUUGAUAGUUCUUUCCUGAUUUGGUGGUUGGUGGUGCAUGGCCGUUCUUAGUUGGUGGAGUGAUUUGUCUGGUUUAUUCCGAUAACGAACGAGACUCUAACCUGCUAAAUAGUUUCCCGGUAGCUUAGCCGGCUGAAACUUCUUAGAGGGAUCAGUGG